AUUGAACGCUGGCGGCAGGCCUAACACAUGCAAGUCGAGCGGAUGAAGGGAGCUUGCUCCUGGAUUCAGCGGCGGACGGGUGAGUAAUGCCUAGGAAUCUGCCUGGUAGUGGGGGAUAACGUCCGGAAACGGGCGCUAAUACCGCAUACGUCCUGAGGGAGAAAGUGGGGGAUCUUCGGACCUCACGCUAUCAGAUGAGCCUAGGUCGGAUUAGCUAGUUGGUGGGGUAAAGGCCUACCAAGGCGACGAUCCGUAACUGGUCUGAGAGGAUGAUCAGUCACACUGGAACUGAGACACGGUCCAGACUCCUACGGGAGGCAGCAGUGGGGAAUAUUGGACAAUGGGCGAAAGCCCGAUCCAGCCAUGCCGCGUGUGUGAAGAGGGUCUUCGGAUUGUAAAGCACUUUAAGUUGGGAGGAAGGGCAGUAAGUUAAUACCUUGCUGUUUUGACGUUACCAACAGAAUAAGCACCGGCUAACUUCGUG
rnacentral:rRNA from 1 species